rnacentral:rRNA from 1 species
UUUGAUCCUGGCUCAGGAUGAACGCUAGCGGCAGGCUUAACACAUGCAAGUCGAGGGGUAACAGAGAAAAGCUUGCUUUUUUGCUGACGACCGGCGAACGGGUGCGUAACGCGUAUAGAAUCUGCCUUGUACAGGAGGAUAGCCUUUAGAAAUGAAGAUUAACACUCCAUAAUACUGAGAUGUGGCAUCACAAUUUAGUUAAACAUUUAUGGGUACAAGAUGACUAUGCGUCCUAUUAGCUAGAUGGUAAGGUAACGGCUUACCAUGGCGACGAUAGAUAGGGGUCCUGAGAGGGAGAUCCCCCACACUGGUACUGAGACACGGACCAGACUCCUACGGGAGGCAGCAGUGAGGAAUAUUGGGCAAUGGAGGCAACUCUGACCCAGCCAUGCCGCGUGCAGGAAGACGGCCCUAUGGGUUGUAAACUGCUUUUAUACAGGAAGAAACUUAUCCACGUGUGGAUAACUGACGGUACUGUAAGAAUAAGGACCGGCUAACUCCGUGCCAGCAGCCGCGGUAAUAAGGG